GCUCCCAUGGCGUAGUGGUCACUGCGCUCGCCUUGCACGCGGGAGACCCGGGUUCGAUUCCUGGCGGUGUCA
rfam:Asian citrus Psyllid, Diaphorina citri - Florida Strain, whole genome shotgun sequence.